GGAUUAGAAAUAAAAAUAAUAGGUAACAAUUUUGCUGAAUACAAUUUUUCAUUUAUUUAAUACAGAAUUCAACCAUAGUUUAAUCAAUUUCGUGUGUUACCUAUAUUUGAAAUAUUGGAUUUAACUAUUUGAUUUGAAGUUUUCUCUAAAACUGUGUAACUCUAUUUAAAUGGAUAAAAUAUUUCAAAUUGAAUCACUAGAAACAUUCCAAAAUGUAUCAGAAAAAAUCUUAACAGAUUUGUAUUAUUCAGGAUCUUCUUCUCUAAAAUCCAACAUUGAAGGAGAUGUGAUUACAGCUGCAAAACAAAAUUUGAUCUCAAUAAUUUCUGAUUGCAAUUUUGAUCUACAAUCAGUUAAAGAUGUAUUUAAUGGCAAGGGAUGGCCAGAAGAAAAAGUUCAAUGCUUACAUGGAUUAAUAGAUAAAUACAAGUCUGAUUUAUUAAAUGCAGCUUUGAAUCAGUACAAUAGCAGUUACUGUGAAACAGUAGUAAAUUUUGACUGGCUAGUCAAAUUCAUUCUUGGUACAAGUGACUUAAAAACUUUAAAAUAUCCACUGCUACAAUUGGUAUUGUCUACAUUACAUAAAAAUGGGAAACAAAAUAAUAUUAUUUACGACAUUCAAAAAGAUAUUUUAUUAAAAAUGAUUCAUGCUUUAGAAUCUAUAAAAUAAAGCGAUUACACUAAA